UUACGCUGUUAUCCCUAAGGUAACUUAGUCUAAUAAUCAAUAAUAAUGGAUCUAAUAUUCAUAAAUCAAUGUUAUGUAAAUAAAAAAGUUAAAUAUAUAUUUUUGUCACCCCAACAAAACACAAAAAAAUAUAAAAAUAUUAAUAUAUAAAUAUUUAAAUAAAGUUAUGUAAAGAUCUAUAGGGUCUUCUCGUCUUCCAAUAGAAUUUUAGCUUUUUAACUAAAAAAUUAAAUUUUAAAACAAAUAAAAUGAGACAGUCAGUUCCUCGUUGAACCUUUCAUUCCAGCCCUCUAUUAAAAGACUAAUGAUUAUGCUACCUUUGCACGGUCAGUAUACCGCGGCCGUUGAACUCCUCACUGGGCAGGUCAGACCUUCAAUUAAAUUCAAAAGGACAUGUUUUUGAUAAACAGGCG
rnacentral:rRNA from 1 species